rnacentral:rRNA from 1 species
AACCAAUACGACUGUCGGCAACGGAUAUCUAGGCUCUCGCAUCGAUGAAGAACGUAGCAAAAUGCGAUACUUGGUGUGAAUUGCAGAAUCCCGUGAAUCAUCGAGUUUUUGAACGCAAGUUGCGCCCGAAGCCACUCGGCCGAGGGCACGUCUGCCUGGGCGUCACG